AUUGAACGCUGGCGGCAGGCCUAACACAUGCCAGUCGAGCGAGCGGCGGACGGGUGAGUAAUGUAUGGGGAUCUGCCUGAUGGAGGGGGAUAACUACUGGGAACGGUAGCUAAGACCGCCUACCAUCAGAUGAACCCAUAUGGGAUUAGCUGGUAGGUCAGGUAACUGCUUACCUCGGCAACGAUCCCUAACGGUUCUGAGAGGAUGAUCAGCCACACUGGGACUGAGACACGGCCCAGACUCCUACGGGAGGCAGCAGUGGGGAAUAGUGGAAGAUGGGCGGAAGCCUGAUGCAGCCAUGCCGCGGGUAUGAAGAAGGUCUUAGGGGUGUAAAGUACUUUCAUCGGGGAGGCGUUACCCGCAGAAGAAGCACCGGCUAACUCCGUGCCAGCAGCCGCGGUAAUUC
rnacentral:rRNA from 1 species